rnacentral:rRNA from 1 species
CCCUUAGAUGUUCUGGGCCGCACGCGCGCUACACUGAUGCAUUCAACGAGUUUCUUCCUGGUCCGAGAGGAGUGGGUAACCUUUUGAAAGUGCAUCGUGAUAGGGAUAGACUAUUGCAAUUAUUGGUCUUCAACGAGGAAUUCCUAGUAGACGUAGUUCAUCAGACUGCAUUGAUUACGUCCCUGCCCUUUGUACACACCGCCCGUCGCUCCUACCGAUUGAAUGCUCAGGUGAGCCAUUCGGACUUUCAUCAUGCUGGUUUCCAGUUUUGAUGAAGGAAAGUCUUGCGAACCUUAUCAUUUAGAGGAAGGAGAAGUCGUAACA